rnacentral:rRNA from 1 species
CCUUUUGGUUAUAAAUAAUUGUUAGUGGCAGACGGGUGAGUAAUGCGUAGGAAUCUACCUAGUAGUAUGGAAUAGCCAUUAGAAAUGAUGGGUAAUACUGUAUAAUCCCUGCGGGGGAAAGAUUUAUCGCUAUUAGAUGAGCCUACGUUAGAUUAGCUAGUUGGUAAGGUAAUGGCUUACCAAGGCUAUGAUCUAUAGCUGGUCUGAGAGGACGAUCAGCCACACUGGAACUGAGAUACGGUCCAGACUCCUACGGGAGGCAGCAGUGGGGAAUAUUGGACAAUGGGCGAAAGCCUGAUCCAGCUAUGCCGCGUGAGUGAAGAAGGCCUUCGG